GGGGAUGACGUCAAAUCAGCACGGCCCUUACGUCCGGGGCUACACACGUGUUACAAUGGGGGGUACAGAAGGCAGCUAGCGGGUGACCGUAUGCUAAUCCCAAAAGCCUCUCUCAGUUCGGAUCGAAGUCUGCAACCCGACUUCGUGAAGCUGGAUUCGCUAGUAAUCGCGCAUCAGCCACGGCGCGGUGAAUACGUUCCCGGGCCUUGUACACACCGCCCGUCAAGCCAUGGGAGCCGGGGGUACCUGAAGUACGUAACCGCAAGGAUCGUCCUAGGGUAAAACUGGUGACUGGGGCUAAGUCGUAACAAGGUAGCCGUACCGGAAGGUGCGGCUGGAACACC
rnacentral:rRNA from 2 species